rnacentral:rRNA from 1 species
AGUGAACGCUGGCGGUAGGCCUAACACAUGCAAGUCGAACGGCAGCACAGGAGAGCUUGCUCUCUGGGUGGCGAGUGGCGGACGGGUGAGGAAUACAUCGGAAUCUACUCUGUCGUGGGGGAUAACGUAGGGAAACUUACGCUAAUACCGCAUACGACCUACGGGUGAAAGCAGGGGACCUUCGGGCCUUGCGCGAUUGAAUGAGCCGAUGUCGGAUUAGCUAGUUGGCGGGGUAAAGGCCCACCAAGGCGACGAUCCGUAGCUGGUCUGAGAGGAUGAUCAGCCAAACUGGAACUGAGACACGGUCCAGACUCCUACGGGAGGCAGCAGGGGGGAAUAUUGGACAAUGGGCGCAAGCCUGAUCCAGCCAUACCGCGUGGGUGAAGAAGGCCUUCGGGUUGUAAAGCCCUUUUGUUGGGAAAGAAAUCCAGCUGGCUAAUACCCGGUUGGGAUGACGGUACCCAAAGAAUAAGCACCGGCUAACUUCGUGCCAGCCGCCGCAGUAA